CCCAGGUUGAUUCAGCAGCUCUUACAAAGGGACUUGCAAGGAUUUAAUUCAGCCAACCCUGUGGUUAGAGAGGAGAGGCAAGACACUCUGGGCCAGUGCACCGAGCAGUUCUGCAGCAAGGCCAGGCUCAUCCCUGCUGUGAAGGGCAGAAAUGUCUCCAGGAGGGUGUCUAUGAAACGCUGGCAGCAGGACAAUGGAGCAGCAGAGAUGGAUGCUGACUGAUUCACUCAGGACUGGUUCAACAGCAGUCUCAGGCAAAUGACCAGGACCCUGACUCUGUGGCCUGCUCCAGGAGCUGGAGUAAGACUCUGGGUUGUGAAUGGUAAGCAGAAUUGCAAGAACUGGAUUUGAUAUUUAGCUGUUCCACAUAGCCUAAUGGGGCUAAUGCAAAUGAGGUGCAUGGAUUUUAAUCAUCCCUGCAGAAAGAAAAAUGGAAAUGUGGCAUGUCACAACUAUGAGAGGCAGGGAAUCACCACAUUGCUGGCUCCUGUGCAUCUCCCAAGUCCAUAGGAGCGCAAGACCUAUAAACUCCAAAGCAGACUGAUGCCUUGGGAAGGCUGACCUGGAACAGAGACUGGACAGAGCUAGUCAAAGGACUUUGGCUGUGCUACAAAUCAGCCAUGAAAUGCUUCUCUUUCAGUGGUUUUAUUCACAAACAUCACUGCUGUUUUUUCAGUGGUCAUAGGAGAUAUCCCUUCUGGACUGCCACUGUUUAUGUGUCAAGACAAAACCAAACCAUUUGUGCUCAGGGACGUUCUGCAAUGCUGCAGCUGCCAGAGUGAAACUCUGGCUGCACCAGGGGAGACUGCACUGCAUCAUGGGCUGGUGCAGAGGAGAGCUAAGAAUGAAUUCCUGUGAGACAUCUUGGCAUUGUAACAUAAGUGAGCUACUGGGCUUGGGCUUGAACACUUGGGUUUAAAUCUGUUCACUCAAACACAACUUCCUUUCUCUUGGAGCAGGCGGUUGCUCAGUGACUGCCACAGCAGAACACCAGCCUGGCAGUAAGAUGCCAGGCUGUGGUUGCUGGUGGAAGGGCUGAGGGACAGGACCUGCUCUGCUGCAGGUGUGCCUAAUAACCCAAAUAAUGCAACAAGGUCAGUAACCAGCAAUGCCUGGAACCUGGACUGGGAGGGGAAGGCAGGUGGGCGGGAAUGGAGAGCUGUGACUCCUCUUGGCUGAGGUUGAGUUUCUCCAAAACUCCUGCCCAUUCAUCCACCUUGUGUCUGUUCUUUCACCAGCAGCCAGAAAGGUCAGGCCUUGAAUAUGGAUACACACAAAGGCUUUCCUGCACUUACCCCUACUGUCAGGGCAAAGACUGGGGAUUUUGCCUGCUACAGUCUGAAACUAUUUGAGAAACACAGGUGCUAUCAAAGCUCUCUUUGCUAAUGGAAGGUGGUAUGUGUUUUAUGUUGCCUCCUGAAAGAAUCUUGAUUUGUCACCCAAGGGUUUACAAGUGUGUCAUGCUGAUGUCUUUCUUUUGCUGAGACACCUUGAAAAUUACAUAACAAAGUCAUACUAAUUCUGCUUCUUAUAGUCAAAUUGCCAGGCUUUCUUGUACAUGCCAUUUUAUA